rnacentral:rRNA from 1 species
GACGUAGGAGGCGAGCGUUGUCCGGAUUCAUUGGGCGUAAAGAGCUCGUAGGCGGUUCGUCGCGUCGGCUGUGAAAUCCCGAGGCUCAACCUCGGGUCUGCAGUCGAUACGGGCGGACUGGAGUUCGGCAGGGGAGACUGGAAUUCCUGGUGUAGCGGUGAAAUGCGCAGAUAUCAGGAGGAACACCGGUGGCGAAGGCGGGUCUCUGGGCCGAUACUGACGCUGAGGAGCGAAAGCGUGGGGAGCGAACAGG